UCAGACCUUAAUAAAAAUAGGAUGAGACAAAAGAGGGUUUUGGGGAAAAACGAUGAGAUGUUGAGUUUGGAUGUCAGAACAAGAUGGAGGCUGUGAUUAAAAGAUUAGAUUUAGAGUCUAACAGUGAACUGAAUGCAGAGUUGAGGCUUCAUUCUCAGAGUCUACAUGGAUGUUAAAGUCAGGACUUUAUCUGAAGUCAAUCAGCUGAGAACUCUGAGAACUCAGAUAAAAACUCAGAAUACAACAACCAACACAACUGGUUUUUGUGUUUUCCAGUUGGGUGUGAGAGACUCAAAGUGAGGCUUUGAAACGAGUUCUAAGUUCAGCUUUCAGGUUCAUUAUGAAGAUGAUUAUUGAGUCUGACUGUACUUGUAUUGAAAUAAAGCUGAUCUGACUGGGAGGGUUGAUUGUGUGUCUGAUAUGAGAAGGAUAAAGAGCUGACCUCUGAUCUGUGCAGGUUCAGACUGGUUUGUGCUUUGAGCUGUUUGGUUCCUGCAGAGCUGAAGAAGGACGACGGUGGAGCUCAGGAGAGGAGCAGAAAGCUGUUGGACUGCAACAAGUUGAGUGGCUGCAGGUUUUCACCAACAUGGAAAGGAUCCAUCAGAACCCAGGACC